AAAUAACAGAAAAGUAACAUAAAUUAAUAAUAAAAUAAUAACGGAACAAAAUUUUAAAAUUUACCGCGCCAUUCAAAUUAUCGUCUGUUUUUUUCGGUCGCCAUUUUGUUUCUCGCACGUACUUAUGAAAAAAGGAAUAAAGACGAAAUGAUUUUUUUAGAAGGUUAGAACAGAUAUAUACGAUGUUAUAAGGAUAUGUUUUAUAGUUGAUGCUGUUGGCAGUUGCACUCUGGAGAAGACUGAACCUGUUCAGCAAUAUUAUAAGUUCCCUUUAACAAACGACAGGCUUCCACAGAAACGGCAUCUUUUGGCGGUAAGUAAGAAUGUUGUUCUCCUUGAUAAACAAAACUAGAGAAUAGUUAAGAUUUAUAACUGAAAUUCAAAAAUAUAAAUUUUAUAAUGAUGAUGAUUGUAGUAUUAAUGGCAUCAGCUGUUCACAAGACCUAGUUCGAAUUCAGUUCAUAAACCUCGGAAAUUUUUCACAAGUGAUGUAUGUUCCCGACAUGUUAGAUAUCACCUGUCAUCACCUGACCUGCCGCACCAUGGAUCAGGCCAAACCCAUAAUGUACAGCAUAGAAAAAGAGCCCCGAUGCCCAAAGGACAGAGUUUAAAACUAAAAAUCAUCAUCAUCAUCAU